GGGCCCGCACAAGCGGUGGAGCAUGUGGUUUAAUUCGAUGAUACGCGAGGAACCUUACCAGGGCUUAAAUGUAAGUUGCAUAAGCUAGAGAUAGCUUUUUCUUCGGACUACUUACAAGGUGCUGCAUGGUUGUCGUCAGCUCGUGCCGUGAGGUGUCAGGUUAAGUCCUAUAACGAGCGCAACCCCUGUUGUUAGUUGCCAUCGAGUAAUGUCGGGAACUCUAACAAGACUGCCGGUGCAAACCGUGAGGAAGGUGGGGAUGACGUCAAAUCAUCACGGCCCUUACGUCCUGGGCUACACACGUGCUACAAUGGCCGGUACAGAGAGCAGCCACUACGCGAGUAGGAGCGAAUCUAUAAAACCGGUCUCAGUUCGGAUCGGAGUCUGCAACUCGACUCCGUG
rnacentral:rRNA from 1 species